UAGGGAAUCUUCGGCAAUGGACGGAAGUCUGACCGAGCAACGCCGCGUGAGUGAAGAAGGUUUUCGGAUCGUAAAGCUCUGUUGUAAGAGAAGAACGAGUGUGAGAGUGGAAAGUUCACACUGUGACGGUAUCUUACCAGAAAGGGACGGCUAACUACGCGCCAGCAGCCGCGGUAAUACGUAGGUCCCGAGCGUUGUCCGGAUUUAUUGGGCGUAAAGCGAGCGCAGGCGGUUAGAUAAGUCUGAAGUUAAAGGCUGUGGCUUAACCAUAGUAGGCUUUGGAAACUGUUUAACUUGAGUGCAAGAGGGGAGAGUGGAAUUCCAUGUGUAGCGGUGAAAUGCGUAGAUAUAUGGAGGAACACCGGUGGCGAAAGCGGCUCUCUGGCUUGUAACUGACGCUGAGGCUCGAAAGCGUGGGGAGCAAACAGGAUUAGAUACCCUGGUAGUCCACGCUGUAAACGAUGAGUGCUAGGUGUUAGACCCUUUCCGGGGUUUAGUGCCGUAGCUAACGCAUUAAGCACUCCGCCUGGGGAGUACGACCGCAAGGUUG
rnacentral:rRNA from 1 species